GGUUGGUCUAAAAUCGUUGUCAUAUAAUAAUUAAUAUAUCUGCCAGUGUUAGCAGUCCUUGUUGUUUCACUCUCCCAUCAACAUGUGACAUUGUCAGAGUUUUAUUAAAGCCAUUUUGCUAGGUGUACAGUAAUAUUACAUUGUGGUUUCAAUUUGUAUUUCCCUAAUGACUAAUUAUGUUUUAAAUCAUUUUUAUAAUGGGUCAUUUGUUUUCUUAUUAUUAUACCUUCAUUGGUUUUUAAAAAGCUUCCUAGCACCUAAAACACUCCUUACCAUGGCAGGUAAGGCCCUGUAUGAUAUAACCCCUGCCUAUCUUUUCAGCUUCAUCUUUCACUUAAGUACUGUCCAUAUAGCUUGAUACUCUACUGAAACAAGUUAUAAUAUCAUAAUAGACCUCCUUCGUAUUCUCACUCCCAAAUCUGUAAUUCUACCUGCACCUUUUGCUCUUUAUUCCAUCCAGAUAAAACUGGAGAAGGUCUCCCCUACUAACAAAAAUCAAACCCUUCACAGGAGAUUUUGAUCCCAUUCCCUCUCAUGGGGUCAUUGUCUAGAACUUCUUUCUUUUCCUUUCUGUUGUGUGCUAUUGAUCUUUCAUUAGUAUUUAAUCAUCCUCACCAGUAACUAAUAUGCUUUAUUACCUCCCAUUAUAAAGAAAUAAGAGAGCCUCCCUUGUUCCCUAAUUACCCUCUAGCUAUUGUACCCUCUAGCUAAUUCUUUUCAUAGUCAAACCUCUCAUAAAUGUUGUCUAUAAAUGCUGAUCCCACUUCUUUCCAUCCUUUCCUGCUUUCUGAUCUGGCUUUUGUCCCCACUACACUAAAAUGAUCUUGUCAAGGUACAAGUGAUCUCCUUGUGGCCAAAUAGCAUGAUAAUUCUCUUGAUUGAAACAGUCUAUUCUCUUAGCUUUGGUGAUGCCACAUUCUCUGAAGUUUUCUCCCGUUUCAUUAGCUGCUACUCAGUUUUCUGUACACUUUCUUUUUCUCUAGCCAACUUCUAGUUGUGGCCAUUUCUCAAGGCUCAGUCUCCUUCCACUCUCUCCCUAGCUUUUCAACCAGCCCCAUGAUACUAAAUGUCAUCUAUAUGCUGAUCAGUCCUAAAUUUAUAUUUCUGGACUAAACCUAUCCUUUGAAUCCUAGACUAAAAUAUUCAAUGACUAUAACAUCACUACUGAGAUUCUCCAAUAGAAACAUGUCCCAAAGUGAAUGUUGGUAUCCAGCUUUUCCUACAAUCUGUUCAUCCAGGAGUCUUCUUCAUGUGCCCUUUCAUCAGUUGCUCACACUAUAGACCUGAAUGGCUUUCCUUUCAUUCCUUACAUCUAGUCCAGUACAGAUCUUGUCAGUUCUUAUCAUCUGCACAGGUCUGGGCCAUUCGGAUAGCCACUGCACUAAUUUAUCUAGCUAUUCCCCCACCAAUCUCACCAAACAGCCAGAAUGACCUUCUUAAAGCAUAUGGAAUCAUACCAAUUUCUCCAUUGUGUUGUGUUGCUCAUCCACAUGGGUUGUCCAUGUGCGGCCCCUGUGUGUGUGUGUACCCUCCACAUGGCUCAUCCACAUGUGGUCUCUGUGUGUGCAUCCCCUCCAGGUGAAUCAUCCAUAUGUGGUUUUUGCGUGUGUGUGUGUGUCCCUCCUGCAGGUAGUUAAUGCAUGUGUGGUCUCUGUGUGUGUUUCCCCCUCAGCCGCCUCUCCUCCCUCAUUUCAUGCCCCUCUCCCACUGACCACCGUCCUCCAGCUCCCCUGACCUCAUUUUUUCCCUUGAACCUAUAGAGUUAUUUUCUCUCAGUGGCUUUGGCCAGUUUGGUGUGUCAACCUUGCAUGCUCAUUCAUGCAUGGCUCCUCAUUCUCACCUGUCAGUACUUGUUGCGCCUCCAAAGAGCAACCUUCCUAGUCCUCCUUUUAAGAAGAAAUAGGUUCCAUACUCCAUUGUUCACUGUGGCCUAGCCUGUUUGUCUCCUUUAUAACAUUACUCCAUUUGCAUUUUUAUUAGUUUUUAAUUUCCUUGAUCUCUCUCGGACAAUAGAUGAUAAAUUCCAUGUGGGAAGAAACUAUGUGUUCCAUAUAUCAGUGUAUUCCCAGCAUCUACAUAGUAUCAAGUGUAUAAUAGGCAUUCAAUAAAUAUUCUUAACAAACUAUUUGUAACUCUAACACUCAAGUUCCUUCACUGUUUCACACGUCUAAACUUUUGUGUUGUGGCGGUAUUUUCUUGCCUAACUGAUCCCACCUUCUUAAGGACUUUUUAGAAUGAAAGGUAUUGGAGGUCUCAAUGAUCAUUGGCUUCAUAGUUCAUACAUGGUCUUCUCUUACUGAGGAUGCGAAGUACCCACAACCCCCACCGCACCUGCAGGAAAAUGAGAGUGAUGCUCACUGGCCAUCAGAAUGCAGGUGAUGAGGCCGCACAUGAUCCAGUGUUCGGGACAGGUAGAGUGGAGACUGCCCUGUCUCCAUAGCCAGACUGCCCCAGCUCAAAGAGGUUGCACAUUUCAAGCAUUGUAGUC
rnacentral:lncRNA from 1 species